rnacentral:rRNA from 1 species
AUUGAACGCUGGCGGCAUGCUUUACACAUGCAAGUCGAACGGCAGCACGGACUUCGGUCUGGUGGCGAGUGGCGAACGGGUGAGUAAUACAUCGGAACGUGCCCAGUUGUGGGGGAUAACUACUCGAAAGAGUAGCUAAUACCGCAUGAGAACAGAGGUUGAAAGCAGGGGAUCGUAAGACCUUGCGCAACUGGAGCGGCCGAUGGCAGAUUAGGUAGUUGGUGGGAUAAAAGCUUACCAAGCCGACGAUCUGUAGCUGGUCUGAGAGGACGACCAGCCACACUGGGACUGAGACACGGCCCAGACUCCUACGGGAGGCAGCAGUGGGGAAUUUUGGACAAUGGGCGAAAGCCUGAUCCAGCAAUGCCGCGUGCAGGAUGAAGGCCUUCGGGUUGUAAACUGCUUUUGUACGGAACGAAAAGCUUCGGGUUAAUACCCUGGAGUCAUGACGGUACCGUAAGAAUAAGCACCGGCUAACUACGUGCCAGCAGCCGCCGUAAUAC